CCUACGGGAGGCAGCAGUGAGGAAUAUUGGUCAAUGGGCGGAAGCCUGAACCAGCCAAGUAGCGUGCGGGAUGAAGGCCCUAUGGGUCGUAAACCGCUUUUGCAUGGGGAUAAUAAGCUCUACGUGUAGAGGGCUGAAGGUACCGUGCGAAUAAGCACCGGCUAAUUCCGUGCCAGCAGCCGCGGUAAUACGGAGGACGCGAGCGUUAUCCGGAUUCAUUGGGCUUAAAGGGAGCGUAGGCGGACGCUUAAGUCAGUUGUUAAAGUCUGCGGCUCAACCGGAGAAUUGCAGUUGAUACUGGGUGGCUUGAGUGCAGCAGAGGCAGGCGGAAUUCGUGGUGUAGCGGUGAAAUGCAUAGAUAUCACGAGGAACCCCGAUUGCGAAGGCAGCUUGCCGGAGUGCAACUGACGCUGAGGCUCGAAAGUGUGGGUAUCAAACAGGAUUAGAUACCCUUGUAGUC
rnacentral:rRNA from 1 species